UGGGGAAUAUUGGACAAUGGGGGCAACCCUGAUCCAGCAAUGCCGCGUGUGUGAAGAAGGUCUUCGGAUUGUAAAGCACUUUCGACGGGGACGAUGAUGACGGUACCCGUAGAAGAAGCCCCGGCUAACUUCGUGCCAGCAGCCGCGGUAAUACGAAGGGGGCUAGCGUUGCUCGGAAUGACUGGGCGUAAAGGGCGUGUAGGCGGUUUACACAGUCAGAUGUGAAAUCCCCGGCUUAACCUGGGAGCUGCAUUUGAUACGUGUAGACUAGAGUGUGAGAGAGGGUUGUGGAAUUCCCAGUGUAGAGGUGAAAUUCGUAGAUAUUGGGAAGAACACCGGUGGCGAAGGCGGCAACCUGGCUCAUGACUGACGCUGAGGCGCGAAAGCGUGGGGAGCAAACAGGAUU
rnacentral:rRNA from 1 species